rnacentral:rRNA from 1 species
GACGAACGCUGGCGGCGUGCCUAACACAUGCAAGUCGAACGGAGUGUUUAUUUAUAAACACUUAGUGGCGAACGGGUGAGUAACGCGUAGACAACCUACCCUCUAGAUGGGGACAACACCGCGAAAGUGGUGCUAAUACCGAAUGUUGUAAUGUUGUUGCAUAAUGAUAUUCCUAAAGGUGGCCUCUAUAUAUAAGCUACCGCUAGAAGAUGGGUCUGCGUCUGAUUAGCUAGUUGGUGAGAUAACAGCUCACCAAGGCAAUGAUCAGUAGCCGGUCUGAGAGGAUGAACGGCCACACUGGGACUGAGACACGGCCCAGACUCCUACGGGAGGCAGCAGUGGGGAAUCUUCCGCAAUGGACGAAAGUCUGACGGAGCAACGCCGCGUGAGUGAAGAAGGUUUUCGGAUCGUAAAGCUCUGUCUUCAAGGACGAAUGUCGAUAUUGUGAAUAAUGAUAUUUAAUGACGGUACUUGAGGAGGAAGCCACGGCUAACUACGUGCCAGCCGCCGCCGUAA